AAGAAAGAGAGAGAAUUCCUCAUCUUCUCCAAAUUUCCUAAACUUUUGAGAAAGAAAGAAUAGAGAGAAGUAACGAGAUAGAGAGGCGGACAAGCUUGAGAGUGAGGGAGAAAUUGAGGGAUUAAGUGUGGUGAUUAUUCAAGGUUAUGGAAGCAAGCAUGGAUCCAUUAGAGAAGCAAAAAAACGUUUUUGACCAAGCCCUCAAAUUUUCAAGCAAAUUGUUUCAUAAAAGCCUAAGGUAUGAGGCAGCAUAUACAUGUUGUGUGUGGAUAAACACUAAAGGUACCAAAGUUUGAUUUGCUGAUCCGCCGGUUUAGGACAUCUGUUGUGUUAUUGACAGUGCUCCCUUGUUCGGAGCUUGUAUUUUGGUACUGACUUUAUCUCUGUAUAUUUGAAUAUGUUGGUCAGGGGUACGACGGGGUCCUGUCCCGUCAUAUGGCUAUGCUAUCAUUUGUAGAGGUCUGUAGACAGAGUUAUGUUGUGGUUUUUGUAUA